AGGUGCUGCAGCCUCUUCACAGCAAGGUGCUGCAGACUCUACACAGCAAGAUGCUGAAUGCACAGUUAAUCCAUGUGAGAAAUUCACACAAACAUAUACAAAAUAAUACAGACAAG